UCAUCUUAACUUAGGAUUCUUGUGAUUCUGGAUGACUCAGUUAUAAGAGAACUGAGGAUUGAGUGUUUCUCUUGCCUUCUUUUUUUACCUCUAACUCUUUAUUCUUAAAAAUACUGGGUUUUAAGAAUAAACUAUUUUUUUCCUCUCAUCCUACUGUCCAAUCUGAGAGAGCAUAACUAAUGCGUUCUGCUUUUUUGAACAGGGUUCUAUGGUUGGUUCAGGAUCCUUGGAUGUCGAAGGCAUCCUUGGAGUGAUCUCGUUGUUCCUACGAGGCAAAGAUGAUGGAUCUGUCCAUGAAUUCUUUUUCAUUUGACAGAUUUUGCUCAAAAGGUUGAAGGGAAAUAGUGCAUCAAAAUGUUCAUAAGGGUCAACCUGAUCUUUUUUCCAGGAUGAUCCCAAAUGAGGAAACCCUAAAAGAGUCACCGACUCCAACUAUCGUCCAUAUCCAACAUCAUAGAAGUGAUUACUGUGAACGAGUUCUACCAUAUAACUCGAUUUCAUCUUUAAGCUAUAACAGUCUUAAGUGGCGAAACUGUGUAGAGGAAAAACAGUGAUACAUGUAUUCUAUAAGGUAAGAAAAGCUAAAUUUCUUUCAAUUUUAAAGUCAAAUUAUUGAAUUUAAAUACUGUGGUAUGAAGAUGUAGUUGCAUCACUUAAUAUGAAAGAAUUAAGAAUUAUUGUAAAAAGUAUUCUGGUUUGAAAUGUGAAGUUGAUUAAGGCUUUUAAUAUUGUGAAUUUGUAGAUUGUUUUAGUAUCAAUGUGAUUUAUAGAAUUUUCAAUUAAAACAUAUGAUUGAAAGUAUACUAGAAUUCCGGAAGCAAGUUAUUUUUGUGUAUACAUGAGUAGAGAUUGAUUAGGAAAAUAGGAAUGUUACAUAUUUUCAUUCCCACAAAAUCAGCUUGUGAAGUGAGAUUUACAUCCAAUUACAUGUAAGACUUUCAGCACAUCCUCUCACACCGAGGUAUAUACAUCUUGUGUGUGAGACUAAAUAUUAAGGGAUGGUCUGAUAGCGGAUGGAAUAAUAUACCUAACAAAUCUCGCUAGGAUAAACUCUAAUAAUAGCUAUCAUACCAUGUUAAGAAGUGGAUUUUAAACUUAACUCAAUCUCACAAAAAUGAUUUUCUCAUUAAAAUGUCAAAACACCUAACAAAGAUCAAAAGAAAAGUACUAGAAUUCAAACAAAAUAAUUAUAUAAUAAAGGAACAUUUUUCACAAUUGGUUUACAAGUUGUCACACCACAAUUGGUUUCCAAAACAAUUUGCACAUCCCCAUACUAGAUCAAACUCAGAGCAAUUGUUUAAAAAAAAUUGGUUUGAGUUUGAAGGUUAAGUUGACGUUUGAACACAAAAAUGUUUGGAGUUUAUUGGGAAGAUACAACAUCAAUAAAAUGAGUCUAACUAUAUAAAGAAUUGACAUCACCCUCAAUCCAAAACCUUAAGAUUAUGGGUUUUGCCCAAGUUUCUUCUCUUUUUGUCUAACUCACUUUCUUCUUUUUUAUUUGUGAGUUUUGGGGGUAUUCCCACUCAUAGGUUUGAUAUCCACAUCUAUGAAUUGAAAGGUCCAAAUGAUUCACUCUCUAAUCUAUUAUUAGAAUCAAUAUGUUUAUUUUCUUAUUCCUGCUAAAUGGGAAACUUAGAUUCACUCUUGGAUUCCCAACAAUUUAUUCCUCAAGAGUGAGUUCCUUUCACAUUGGUAUACUUCUUCCAAGGAAAACAUUCCCAAUCAUGAAUACCAUUUUUAUAUCACCAUUCAGAAAGACCUUCGAUAUAGUAACCAUUGUAUUCAUUAAAUCAAUCACCAAAACUAAUCAUAAACUCUGAUAUCAUAUUGAAUAUAAUAAAAACUAUAUAAGAAAUUAAUCUCCUUUAUUUUAAAUAUAUGUAUAUCAUGGCAUUGAAAUUCAUAUAGCAAUGCAAAAAUAUCUUUCUAUAUCAACAAAUUAACUAUAAAAUAUAGCCUUAUAACAUACAAUGGUUUUAGACAAAUCUCAUCUACACCCGUCGGACAAACUCCAAAUAAUUAAUAAAACAAAUCUUAAUUAAAUUUAAUAAUAGUACCAAACCUUUACCAACAAUCACAUUACAAGUAUCCUCAAAACAAUAAGUCAUCUUCAUAAUAUUUUCAGUAACGCAUAUAAGGCCUUCCUAUUUACAAUACCUUCACCGGUUUGCACUAAUAUAAAUUUUAAAAACAAUGAAUUAAUAAUUUGUUAGUAAUAAAAAAUAUAUUGAUAUUAAAAAGAAGAAAUAUGAGAGAAACUUGGAUUUGAAGAAACAUUAGGUUUUAAUAAAGAGAGGAGUAUGGGAAGAUGAUUUUGGCCGAUAUUAUCAAAUGGCAAUGAAAGUGAAUGGCCCCAAGAGAGGAUAGCAGUUUCGAGAAGAUUAUUCAACCAUGAUAGAGUUUGGAGACAAUGGGUUAACCUUAGAGAUGUUGUUAAACUUAGUAACACAUUAGAGAUGUGUUAUUACUCUUGGUAACUAAAAGUCAGGAGCAGGUAUCAUUAAUUUAAAUUUAUUUUUAAAUAAAUUAAAAUAUUACUUUAAAAUGUUAAUUAUUAAAUUAAUAGUAAC